rnacentral:rRNA from 1 species
AAUGAACGCUGGCGGCAUGCCUAACACAUGCAAGUCGAACGAAGGCUUCGGCCUUAGUGGCGCACGGGUGCGUAACGCGUGGGAAUCUGCCCUCAGGUUCGGAAUAACAGCGAGAAAUUGCUGCUAAUACCGGAUGAUAUCGCGAGAUCAAAGAUUUAUCGCCUGAGGAUGAGCCCGUGUAGGAUUAGCUAGUUGGUGUGGUAAAGGCGCACCAAGGCGACGAUCCUUAGCUGGUCUGAGAGGAUGAUCAGCCACACUGGGACUGAGACACGGCCCAGACUCCUACGGGAGGCAGCAGUGGGGAAUAUUGGACAAUGGGCGAAAGCCUGAUCCAGCAAUGCCGCGUGAGUGAUGAAGACCUUAGGGUUGUAAAGCUCUUUUACCCGGGAUGAUAAUGACAGUACCGGGAGAAUAAGCUCCGGCUAACUCCGUGCCAGCAGCCGCCGUAA